GUGAGUCAUCGAAUCUUUGAACGCAUAUUGCACUCUUUGGUAUUCCGAAGAGUAUGCCUGUUUCAGUAUCAUAAAACUCUCACAAUUCAUUAGUUUUGGCUAAUGAAUGUGGACAUGGGCUUGCAAGCUUUACAGCUUUCUAGUCUAAAAUGCAUUUCUUUGAAGCAUCCGUAUUCAAUUCUGCUUAAUAGUUUUAGCUUCGGCUGAAUCUUUGGCUUUAUUGAUGGAUUCAGCUUCAUUGAUUUACGAUAAUAUUGGCCCACAAGCCUUUCAAAAUUUGAUCUGAAAUCAGGUAGGUACUACCCGCUGAACUUAAGCAUAUCAAUAAGCGGAGG
rnacentral:rRNA from 1 species